AGAUCAGUGAUGACCUCCAAAAUGGAUCUCAUUGGAAUCUGAGCCAGAAGAGUGGUGAAAGCACUUAUGUGAACUGAGGUCU
ensembl:snoRNA SNORD116 Small nucleolar RNA SNORD116